AACGAACGCUGGCGGCAUGCCUAACACAUGCGAGUCGAACGAGACCUUCGGGUCUAGUGUCGCACGGGUGUGUAACGCGUGGGAACCUGCCUUUAGGUUCGGGAUAACUCAGAGAAUUUUGAGCUAAUACCGGAUGAUGUCUUCGGACCAAAGAUUUAUCGCCUUUAGAUGGGCCCGCGUUGGAUUAGCUAGUUGGUGGGGUAAAGGCCUACCAAGGCGACGAUCCAUAGCUGGUCUGAGAGGAUGAUCAGCCACACUGGGACUGAGACACGGCCCAGACUCCUACGGGAGGCAGCAGUGGGGAAUAUUGGACAAUGGGCGAAAGCCUGAUCCAGCAAUGCCGCGUGAGUGAUGAAGGCCUUAGGGUUGUAAAGCUCUUUUACCCGAGAUGAUAAUGACAGUAUCGGGAGAAUAAGCGCCGGCUAACUCCGUG
rnacentral:rRNA from 1 species